ensembl:lncRNA
AACAUGCCAAGACGCAGGAGACUGUUCACCGGCCGAGCAUCGCUGGUCCCUCCGCCCGCCCGAACGGGCCCGUUUUAGGCGGGUGCCACCGGUCCGGAGCAGUGGGGACUAGUGGCUGCGGUUCGGUGCCAGCUGCACUGGGUCGGAGGUGGUUCUGGUCUGCAAUUCAUGACGUGAAUUCAUGCAACAUGCUGUUUACAGUCAUAACGCUUUUUCUUUACUUUUAUUUCUUCCAGGGGGUCAAAAACCCACCAUCAACAUCAAGGCUGAACAUCUCUCCAGCAUGGGUGUGAAAUCUUCAGGCUGUGACCCACCGCUUCAGUCAGAGGUCUGUUUUACUCGUCAGUCCGCCUCAUGCACAAACCAGCUUCUUUAUCGGGGCGUGAUGGAAACGUCAGCCGCCGUGAAACACUUGUGGUCUCCGGACGGAGCUACCAUGCCAUUUAAGGGGUUUGUGCCCGGACAUCUUGACCUUUAUGUGAAUGACCUUGUCACUUUUCAGUUUGUGACCUCUGCUAAUACGGUGGCCAAUUCUUUUCUCCUUUCACAGGGGUGUGACUUAGUCUCGGGCCUCUGUGCUCUCUUUCCUGUGAUUUCUCUUACAGGUGACCACGACGACACAGAAAACCCUGCGGUUUCCAGCAGUCCUGUGGUCAGUGGCGAUAUUAAAGGUGGCUCGGUGGUUGCUGCGCACACCUCUCUCACGGGCUCGGGAAGGCAACCCGGCCCGGGAGGUGUAGGUGCGUGCAGUGAUGCUCUGCUCGGGGCCCCUCCUGACAAAGGGGGGGUGCUGAGUGGCUCUGAGUUUUCCGUUGCGGACUUCAACCGGUUCGGGGGAACGCCUCCUCCGAGCGGGCGGGUCAUUGCAGAAAUCGACACUGACCUUCCACCAAUUCAGCUGACAACAUUGACCUCCGACCCGGAGUUAGGUGCUGCACCUUCUACGGGGCGGAGUUCUAGUCAGUCUGUAAAUACUCUGGUUAAACCGGGUUUUUCUGAUUCAGUGUGGGAACCUCCAUCAUUCUUGGGAAUAAAGUAUUCUUGGCUUCAGUUUUCAGGACAGACCAUGUUCCUAAAGCUAGCGUCAUGUCUGUAUCUGAUUCUAAACAUGGCUAGGUUUGCUUUGACACCCGUGACACAACCAUCCUUGGAUCACUCCUUUUCAGAACCUCCAAGUCCAACACCUCCAGGUCUUUGGACAUCUGAACACCUACUCUUUCAGCACGAUUCAGGUGACAAUGUGCAUCUUCUUGGUAAUAGGGCUUUUAAGAGCUUAAGAACUGUUCUUUGUUAUGCUUCUCCUGUCUCACAGACACGGCAUAAGUUUGAGAAACAAAAGGGGGGUGGGGAGCCUCCUCCUGCUUUGCGAGCAUCAUUUUCGCAUUUCCAGUUCACUACUAUUUCUGAUCACAACAAAGUCGCCUCCGUAAAGCUGCAACACAACUUUGAGCAGGUAAAAUCAGGUUCUGAUCUAACAGCUAAACCAUCAGCUUCGCUCCAGUUCCAAACGGGACCCUCAGGUAAAUUCAAACAAGUUUCCCUGUGGGUUCGUAACACAAGAUACAAACAGUUUGAUAACCAAAUCGCUUAUGAGCCUGCUCCCACAGAUACGUCCAAACUCGUGUCUCUGUGGGUCCGCAAUACCAGAUUCAAAACUCUAUUCUGA